AGCAGUAGCCGCGGGAAUACGAAGGGUGCAAGCGUUAAUCGGAAUUACUGGGCGUAAAGCGUGCACAGGCAGUUGUGUAAGACAGGUGUGAAAUCCCCGGGCUUAACCUGGGAACUGCGCUUGUGACUGCACAGCUAGAGUAUGGCAGAGGGGGGUGGAAUUCCACGUGUAGCAGUGAAAUGCGUAGAGAUGUGGAGGAACACCGAUGGCGAAGGCAGCCCCCUGGGCCAAUACUGACGCUCAUGCACGAAAGCGUGGGGAGCAAACAGGAUUAGAGACCCCUGUAGUCCCUGUCUCUUAUAC
rnacentral:rRNA from 1 species